GCAGAAUGGGGACUGCCUUGUACAGGAAUUCAUGUUUGGUGAGAUGUCCUCCCAUGCUGGGAGACUGGAAGAGGGAGUGAGAGGCAAGAGUCUUAGGUGCCCAGGUGAUGUGACCAGCUAUGCAUCCCAAUGGCCAGUCAUUUCUCAGACAGAAGCAACCAGGACUACAACAGGAACUAUAAACUGGACAACUGAAGAACACUGCUUCACGGGACAUUUUCUGCUACAUUUGUGUUCCUAAGAAGUCUCCCACCAAAUCUCCAAAUAAGCAUCUGUUUCUU
rnacentral:lncRNA from 1 species